rnacentral:rRNA from 1 species
UCCUACGGGAGGCAGCAGUGAGGAAUAUUGGUCAAUGGGCGAGAGCCUGAACCAGCCAAGUAGCGUGCAGGAUGAAGGCCCUAUGGGUUAGUAAACUGCUUUUAUAAGGGAAUAAAGUGAGUCUCGUGAGACUUUUUGCAUGUACCUUAUGAAUAAGGACCGGCUAAUUCCGUGC